GAUACAAUGAGGACACAGCCUUGUGUUAUUUGCUGGCCAUCACAAACUCUCUUUGUUGUUUCUACUCCUAGGUAAAAGGUCAUUAAUUAGGAGAAGAUUUAUCUCAAGGAAACGUAUGAUCUGUGGGUAGUGUGGUCAAAGAUGACUUCUGCAGAUAAAAACAUCAUCUUGUAUGCAAGGGCGUGGUGAAAACCUCUGCUAUCAUACUGGAUACAAGGUCUUUAACUUCUCAGCACCAGUUUUAUGGAGCCCCCACCGCUAAGCAAGUGUGCAAAAUGCAGUGCUGCUUCGCAUUGGGAAAUCCCCAAUCUGGUGCCAAGAGGUUCAUAAAUACAGUAAUGGACCCUCUUAUGUCAAAAGUGAGUACUGUUUAACAGCGUAAGUUGGAACAGCCUUCAGGAUGCUUUGCAGCUGCAGUUGUUCCACUGCAAGACAUCAAAAACUUCAUGAUGAUGGUUGUCACACCAGGUCCUAGAAAGGCAACCUACUUCAGUCUGCAAAGUGAACUAAAAGGGAAUGGUUGUUCAUACAUGGCCCUGAUGCCACUGACAUAAGAAACGCAAUGACAAGAGCGAUGAAGUAGGAAUUUGGUGGCAGAUGGUCAGGUCUGCAGGAAGUGUCCACCCAGCUUUGUUUGGCCCAUAUUCUGAAACAACUAGAAUAAACACUUAGUGUCAUAAUUUAUAAGCAUAUCAGUACCAAUAAAUCAG
rnacentral:lncRNA from 1 species